rnacentral:rRNA from 1 species
AUCCAAGGAAGGCAGCAGGCGCGCAAAUUACCCACUCCCGGCACGGGGAGGUAGUGACGAAAAAUAACAAUACGGGACUCUUUUGAGACCCCGUAAUUGGAAUGAGUACACUCUAAAUCCUUUAACGAGGAUCUAUUGGAGGGCAAGUCUGGUGCCAGCAGCCGCGGUAAUUCCAGCUCCAAUAGCGUAUAUUAAAGUUGUUGCGGUUAAAAAGCUCGUAGUUGGAUCUCAGUUCCAGACGGGUGGUCCGCCAACCGGUGGUUACUGCCUGUUCUGAACAGCCAGCCGGUUUCUCUUGAUGAUCUUCACCGGUUGUCUUGGGUGACCGGCAAGUUUACUUUGAAAAAAUUAGAGUGCUCAAAGCAGGCGUGACGCCUGAAUAAUGGUGCAUGGAAUAAUGGAAUAGGACCUCGGUUCUAUUUUGUUGGUUUUCGGAACACGAGGUAAUGAUUAAGAGGGACAGACGGGGGCAUUCGUAUUGCGACGCUAGAGGUGAAAUUCUUGGACCGUCGCAAGACGAACUACUGCGAAAGCAUUUGCCAAGAAUGUUUCCAUUAAUCAAGAACGAAAGUUAGAGGUUCGAAGGCGAUCAGAUACCGCCCUAGUUCUAACCAUAAACGAUGCCAGCCAGCGAUCCGGCUGUGUUCCUCAAAUGACACGCCGGGCAGCUUCCGGGAAACCAAAGCUUUUGGGUUCCGGGGGAAGUAUGGUUGCAAAGCUGAAACUUAAAGGAAUUGACGGAAGGGCACCACCAGGAAUGGAGCCUGCGGCUUAAUUUGACUCAACACGGGAAAACUUACCCGGCCCGGACACAGGAAGGAUUGACAGAUUAAGAGCUCUUUCUUGAUUCAGUGGGUGGUGGUGCAUGGCCGUUCUUAGUUGGUGGAGCGAUUUGUCUGGUUAAUUCCGAUAACGAACGAGACUCUAGCCUACUAAAUAGGCGUUCCGAUCAAUUAAGUCGGACGUUCUUCUUAGAGGGACAAGCGGCGUUUAGCCGCACGAGACAGAGCAAUAACAGGUCUGUGAUGCCCUUAGAUGUCCGGGGCCGCACGCGCGCUACACUGAAGGAAUCAGCGUGUGCUUUCCCUGUCCGGUAGGACUGGGUAACCCGUUAAACCUCCUUCGUGAUAGGGAUAGGGGCUUGUAAUUAUUCCCCUUGAACGAGGAAUUCCCAGUAAGCACGAGUCAUAAGCUCGUGUUGAUUACGUCCCUGCCCUUUGUACACACCGCCCGUCGCUACUACCGAUUGAAUGAUUUAGUGAGGUCUUCGGACUGGCGCUCGGAGCGGUCUUUUGGCCGCUCCGACGUGCCGGAAAGAUGACCAAACUUGAUCAUUUAGAGGAAGUAAA